AUUGAACGCUGGCGGCAUGCCUAACACAUGCAAGUCGAGCGGGUGAAUGGAGUUUGCUCCUGGAUUCAUCCGCGGACGGGUGGGUAAUGCCCAGGAAUCUGCCUGGUCGAGUGGGAUAACUUCCUGAUACGGGCUCUAAUACCUCAUACGUCCUAAGUGAGAAAUUGGGGUAUCUUCGGACCGCACGCUAUCAGUUGAGCCUAGAUCGGAUUAGCUGGUUGGUGGGGUUAACUCAUACGAAGGCAUCGAUCGGCAACUGGUAUGAGAGGAUGAUCAGUCACCCUGGAAGUGAGAAACGGUCGCGACUCUUACGGUGAGAAGCAGUCGGGACUACUGGGCGAUGGGGGAAAGCCUGAUACAGCACUGCCGCGUGUGUGAAGAAGGUCUUAGGAUUGUAAAGCACUUUAAGUUGGGGGGAAGGGAAGUAAGUUAAUCCCUGGCUGUUUUGACGUUACCAACAGAAUAAGCACCGGCUAACUUCGUG
rnacentral:rRNA from 1 species